rnacentral:rRNA from 1 species
UACAGAGGGUGCAAGCGUUGUUCGGAAUCAUUGGGCGUAAAGCGCACGUAGGCGGUCUGCUAAGUCGGGUGUGAAAGCCCCGGGCUCAACCCGGGAAGUGCAUUCGAAACUGGCGAACUUGAAUCCUGGAGAGGGUAGUGGAAUUCCGAGUGUAGAGGUGAAAUUCGUAGAUAUUCGGAGGAACACCAGUGGCGAAGGCGACUACCUGGACAGAGAUUGACGCUGAGGUGCGAAAGCGUGGGGAGCAAACAGG